CAAUAGCGCACAUUAAAGUUGUUGCAGUUAAAAAGCUCGUAGUUGGAUUUGUGGCGUACGGUGUGUUCCGGGCACUUGUUGUCUGAGUAACCUGCUGUUGCCAUCCUUGGGUGGAACCUGUGUGGCAUUAGGUUGUCGUGCAGGGGAUGCCCAUCAUUUACUGUGAAAAAAUUAGAGUGUUCAAAGCAGGCUUAUGCCGUUGAAUAUAUUAGCAUGGAAUAAUGAGAUAGGACUUUUUUGCUAUUUUGUUGGUUUGCGCAAAGAGGUAAUGAUUAAUAGGGACAGUUGGGGGUAUUCGUAUUCCAUUGUCAGAGGUGAAAUUCUUGGAUUUUUGGAAGACGAACUACUGCGAAAGCAUUUACCAAGGAUGUUUUCAUUA
rnacentral:rRNA from 1 species